AGUGAACGCUGGCGGUAGGCCUAACACAUGCAAGUCGAACGGCAGCACAGUAAGAGCUUGCUCUUACGGGUGGCGAGUGGCGGACGGGUGAGGAAUACAUCGGAAUCUACUUUUUCGUGGGGGAUAACGUAGGGAAACUUACGCUAAUACCGCAUACGACCUACGGGUGAAAGUAGGGGAUCUUCGGACCUUGCGCGAUUGAAUGAGCCGAUGUCGGAUUAGCUAGUUGGCGGGGUAAAGGCCCACCAAGGCGACGAUCCAUAGCUGGUCUGAGAGGAUGAUCAGCCACACUGGAACUGAGACACGGUCCAGACUCCUACGGGAGGCAGCAGUGGGGAAUAUUGGACAAUGGGCGCAAGCCUGAUCCAGCCAUACCGCGUGGGUGAAGAAGGCCUUCGGGUUGUAAAGCCCUUUUGUUGGGAAAGAAAAGCAGCAGGUUAAUACCCCGCUGUUCUGACGGUACCCAAAGAAUAAGCACCGGCUAACUUCGUG
rnacentral:rRNA from 1 species